rnacentral:lncRNA from 1 species
AACGGGAACUACUGUGCUGGCUCGGGUGACUGAUCCUGACCACCGUGGGAAACUGGACUGCACUCCAUAGUGGACAUGGGCAAGAGCAUGUCUGGGAUACAGGAGAUCCCUUGGGGUGUCUCCUAGCACGCUCUCAAUCACAAUGCCCCGUGACUGAGGUCAAUGGAAAACUAUAACCACCCAAUCCAGACAGGACUAAAAAUGGCCCAGUCCCUUCAGGAAUGAAGGUUUGGAUCACCCCACCAGGAUGUGGCUUCAACAGCUGCUAGGACAAGGGAGUGACUCUUCUGUGCUGCUAGCCAGCAAGUGCCCACCCAGAGCUCCCGGAUGCUCUCCAAAUGCCAAGAAGACCCAAGGAUCUUUCCUGACUCUGCCCAAGGAUGGCCUGGAGGCACAGGCAGAAACCCGUGGAUCUGGUUCCUAGCUCGUCAUAGCAGCAAAAGAAACACUGCCAGCACCCUGCACUGUGAUUGGUAAGCUUUGCAAUCGACAAAAAUCAUCAGGACGCCAGGUCACAGGCAGCCACGGUGUCCUCUGUCCCCACUUAAAGGCCAGGAUUGGCUCACUUGGUACUUUGUUUUGCCUCCCUAUAAGGCAUGUAAUUAAAUUUAUAACUUUCUGAAAAUGCUAAAAAUAAGCCCAGGUGCUCUGCUAUGCAGGCAGCUUGUACUCUGCAGUUGAGAGCUGGAGCUGGAGCCGGAGUUUGCACAGCUUAUAAGCAGUAAGUCUGGGGGCUGCCAGGCCUGAGGCAGGAAGGUCCUGCUUCAGCUCCUUCAGCUUUUCCCCAGCACUUCCUCCUGCUUGAAGCAUCUGUCUGUCUGUCCUGUGGCAGAGAUAAUAAGACCCAGCCAACACAGGAAGCUGCAUAGAGACAAAUAGCAGGUGGUGAUGCAUUUUAAAGUUGCCCAGAAGCUUCCAUAAGGAACUCUCCUCAUUUACUUCUCAGACACGAAGAGACUUGAGAAAUGCUGUCUUUUGAUGUUCUCCCUGCUGAAUUUCAAACACUUCCCCUUCCAUUGAUUUUAAAGGGUAUGUUCCUAAUUUCCAAGGGUUGCUUAUUUGGAGGUAAUUUGUAAGCCAUGGUGCUCUCCAGAACAGAGAAGCUGGCAAGGGCCAAUGAAGGUGCUGGUCCUGGCUGGACGGCGAGUCAGCCUGCAUCUGACCACACUCUGGACCCAGCAAGAGCCCCUGCCCAGAGGCAGGACACUCAUGGGCAGUAUUAGUGGGUAUAUGCUUGCACACAGCAGUGCAAGCAUAGCCGUCAGAGCCACACUAGCCUUACUUUGGAAAGGUGUCGUCUCUUCCUUUGAAGCUUCCCAACUUCUGUGCUCAGAAAUGCAAACUUGCUGAGUUGCAGGGAAGUGGCACCUGGGGACGGUUCUCCUCAAGGCCCCGCUGGACUCCAUGUGCCCACCCCUCAACAGGGCGGGGCUGUAAGAUUGGCUUCGACCACUGAAAUGCGCAUGAGCAGAGGCUUCCAUGUAGCCUCUGCACUGGUUGCUUCAUUUCUGCCCCUGCUAUGGUCCUGGAGACAUUCUACACCAGGAGUCAGAAGGCAUUUUCUG